CGGAAAGAACGGAAAUAACAGACAGAACGGAAAUAACGGAAAGAACGGAAAUAACAGAAGGAACGGAAAUAACCUCCAUAGAGGCAGAAACUUACUGCAGAAACUUAGAUGACAGGCCAAGAAGAACAACAGAAAUAACGGAAAGAACGGAAACAACGGAAACAACGGAAAUAACCUCCAGAGAGACAGACACUUACAGCAGAAUCUUAGGUGAAAGGCCAAGAAGAACAACGGAAAUAACGGAAAUAAAUAACUGAAAUAACAUAAAUAUAUAAUGGAAAUAACGGAAAUAAACAACAAGAAUAACUAAAAUAAAGAACGGAAAUAACGGAAAUAAAUAAUGGAAAUAACGGAAAUAACCUCCAGAGAGACAGAAACUUACAGCAGAAGUUUAGAUGACAGCCCAAGAGGAACAACGGAAAUAACGGACACCAAGGAAACAAUGGAAACAACGGAAACAAACUUCAGAGAGACAUAAACAUACAGUAGAAACUUAGAUGACAGGCCAAGAAAAAUGAAGGAAAUAACGGAUAGAGCGAAAAUAACAAAAAUAACGGAAAUAACGGAAAUAACGGAAAUAACAACCAGAGAGACAGAAGCAUAUUGCAGAAACUUAGAUGACAGGCCAAGAAGAACAAUGGAAUUAACAGACACAAUGGAAACAAGGGAAACAACGGAAACAAACUCCAGAGAGACAGAAACAUACAGCAGAAACUUAGAUGACAGGCCAAGAAGAGCAACGGAAAUAACAAAGAUAAUUACAGAAAUAACUGAAAUAAUAACGGAAAUAACGGAAAUAAUAACGGAAACAAACUCCAGAGAAACAGAAACAUACAUCUGAAACUUAGAUGACAGGCCAAGAAGAACAACAGAAAAAACAGAAAUAGCAGAAAUAACGGAAAUAACGGAAAUAAUAUCCAGAGAGACAGAAACAUACUUCAGUAACUUAGAUGACAGGCCAAGAAGAACAACGGAAAUAACAGAAAAAACAGAAAUAACGGAAAUAAUAACGGAAAUAACGGAAAAAACCUCCACAGAGACAGAAACGUACGGCAGAAAAUUAGGUGUCAGGUCAAGAACAACAACGGAAAUAACGGAAAUGACGGAAAUAAUAACGGAAAGAAUGGAAAGAACCUCCAGAGAGACAGAAACAUAUGGCAGAAAGUUAGGUGACAGGUCAAGAACAAAAUGGAAAUAACAGAAAAAAACGAAAUAACGGAAAUAAUAAUGGAAAUAACGGAAAUAACGAAAAUACAAACGGAAAUAACGGAAAUAAUAUCGGAAAUAACGGAAAGAACCUUCAGAGAGACAGAAACAUAUGGCAGAAAACUAGGCGACAGGUCAAGAACAACAACAGAAAUAAUUAAAAUAAUGGAAAUAACAGAAAUAACAGAAAUAAAAAUGGAUAUAACGGAAAUAAUAAUGAAAAUAAUGGAAAUAAUAUCGGAAAUAAAGGAAAUAAUGGAUAAAACCUCCAGAGAGACAGAAACACACUGCAGAAAAUUAGGUGACAGGUCAAGAACAACAAUGGAAAUAACGGAAAUAACGGAAAUAACGCAAAUAAUAACAGAAAUAACGGAAAUAACCUCCACAGAGACAAAAACAUACGGCAGAAAAUUAGGUGACUGGUCAAGAACAACAACGGAAAGAACGGAAAGAACGGAAAGAACAGUAAUAAAUUCCACAGUGACAGAAACAUACGGCAGAAAAUUCGAUGACAAGUCAAGAAGAACAACAGAAAUAACGGAAAUAAUGGAACAAACCUGCAGAGCGACAGAAACAUACAGCAGAAAAUUAGGUGACAGGUCAAGAACAACAACGGAAAGAACAAAAAGAACGGAAAAAAAGAAAAGAACCUUUACAGAGACACAAAUAUCGGAAAAAACAAAAAUAACGGAAAUAAUGGAAAUAACGGAAAUAAACUACACAGAGACAGAAACAUAUGGCAGAAAAUGUCGUGACAGGUCAAGAACAACAAUGGAAAUAACGGAAAUAAUGGAAAUAAUGGAAACAACGGAAAUAACGGAAAUAAUGGAAAUAACCUCCACAGAGACAGAAACAUACGGCAGAAAAUUAGGUGUCAGGUCAAGAAGAACAACCGAAAUAACAGAAAAAACCAAAAUAACGGAAAUAAUAACGGAAAUAACAGAAAUAAUAACGGAAAUAGCGGAAAAAUAAACGGGAAUACUAACAGAAAAAUAUAACGGAAAUAAUAACGGAAAUAAUAACGGAAAUAACGGAUAUAACAGAAAUAACGGAAAUAACUCCACAGAGACAGAAAAUUACGACAGACAAUUAAGUGACAGGUCAAGAACAAAAACAGAAAUAAUGGAAAUAACGGAAAUAACGAAAAUAACAGAAAUAACCUCCGAAAGACAGAAACAUACGGCAGAAAAUUAACUGACAGAUCAAGAACAACAACGGAAAUAACAGAAAUCAACUGGAAUAACGGAAAUAAUAAU
ensembl:lncRNA